rnacentral:rRNA from 1 species
UACGGGGGGAGCAAGCGUUGUUCGGAUUUACUGGGCGUAAAGGGCGCGUAGGCGGCGUGACAAGUCACUUGUGAAAUCUCCGGGCUUAACCCGGAGCGGCCAAGUGAUACUGUCGUGCUAGAGUGCGGAAGGGGCUACUGGAAUUCUCGGUGUAGCGGUGAAAUGCGCAGAUAUCAGGAGGAACACCAAUGGCGAAGGCAGCACUCUGGGACGUGACUGACGCUGAGACGCGAAAGCGUGGGGAGCAAACAGG